rnacentral:tRNA from 1 species
GGAGGCGUAGCUCAGUGGCAGAGCACUUGCCUAGCAUGCGUGAGGCCCUGGGUUCCACCCCAGUGCAAUCU